UUUUAUGGAGAGUUUGAUCCUGGCUCAGGAUGAACGCUGGCGGCGUGCCUAAUACAUGCAAGUCGAGCGAACGGACGAGAAGCUUGCUUCUCUGAUGUUAGCGGCGGACGGGUGAGUAACACGUGGAUAACCUACCUAUAAGACUGGGAUAACUUCGGGAAACCGGAGCUAAUACCGGAUAAUAUUUUGAACCGCAUGGUUCAAAAGUGAAAGACGGUCUUGCUGUCACUUAUAGAUGGAUCCGCGCUGCAUUAGCUAGUUGGUAAGGUAACGGCUUACCAAGGCAACGAUGCAUAGCCGACCUGAGAGGGUGAUCGGCCACACUGGAACUGAGACACGGUCCAGACUCCUACGGGAGGCAGCAGUAGGGAAUCUUCCGCAAUGGGCGAAAGCCUGACGGAGCAACGCCGCGUGAGUGAUGAAGGUCUUCGG
rnacentral:rRNA from 1 species